rnacentral:misc_RNA from 1 species
GAUGUAGAACGUAGCGAAAUGCGAUAAGUAAUGUGAAUUGCAGAAUUCAGUGAAUCAUCGAAUCUUUGAACGCACCUUGCGCCCUUUGGCUAUUCCGAAGGGCAUGCCUGUUUGAGUAUCAUGAACACCUCAACUCUUCACGGCUUGCCGUGAUGAGUUUGGACUUUGGGGGUCUUGCUGGCCUACGAGCCAGCUCCUCUCAAAUGUAUUAGCUUGCCGGUGUUUGGUGGCAUCACAGGUGUGAUAACUAUCUACGCUUGUGGUUUUCCACUAGGUAACCUUCAGCAAUGGAGGUUCACCGGAGCUCACAAAUGUCUCUCCUUGCCAAGGACAGAUUUUGACCAUUUGAUCUCAAAUCAGGUAGGACUACCCGCUGAACUUAAGCAUAUCAAUAAGCGGAGGA